CCUACGGGUGGCAGCAGUGGGGAAUAUUGCGCAAUGGGCGCAAGCCUGAUGCAGCCAUGCCGCGUGUGUGAAGAAGGCCUUCGGGUUGUAAAGCACUUUCAGCGGGGAGGAAGGCGGUGAGGUUAAUAACCUCAUCGAUUGACGUUACCCGCAGAAGAAGCACCGGCUAACUCCGUGCCAGCAGCCGCGGUAAUACGGAGGGUGCAAGCGUUAUUCGGAAUUACUGGGCGUAAAGCGCACGCAGGCGGUCUGUCAAGUCGGAUGUGAAAUCCCCGGGCUCAACCUGGGAACUGCAUUCGAAACUGGCAGGCUAGAGUCUUGUAGAGGGGGGUAGAAUUCCAGGUGUAGCGGUGAAAUGCGUAGAGAUCUGGAGGAAUACCGGUGGCGAAGGCGGCCCCCUGGACAAAGACUGACGCUCAGGUGCGAAAGCGUGGGGAGCAAACAGGAUUAGAUACCCUUGUAGUC
rnacentral:rRNA from 1 species